AAGCGGCCGCGGGGCCAAAUUGGGCGCCGGGCGCGAGCCGAGGCCGCCGCGGACCCCGCAAUCCCGCAGCCGGAGACUGGAGCCCACCUCUGCGGAGACAAAGGUUGGAGUGCCAUUCCUUUCACUCUUCUCAUGGAAGCUGCUCCAGGGAACCCCAGCUGAAGGUAGACAUCCUUUGCUAGCUCUCCUCAUCAUUAAUGCAUGGGCAUGGCCAUCCAGGCUUCAAACCUGCCUGUAAGAGAUGCAUGAGGAUUCAACAAACAGUGGGAAACCAGAGGACACAAGUUUGGAUGUGAAAUAGUAACACCUUCUGCAGUGAAGAAUAAUUAAAUAUUUUAAUUACACAAGCUCAAGCAUGU